CAAACAAUAUAAGGAAACAUUGUAAAGAGAAGUACAAAUAUUUGCCUGUAUCUCUUCAAUAAGGUCGUAGAUUUGUUCCUAGCGAGAGUUUGACAAAAUUUGAGUGGUUUGGCACUUUGAUGCAGUUUAGAAGUUCAGAUGACCUGCAUCAUAAUGUAUUGAAAAAGCGUUGAAUCUUGACGGUCACUUUCAUUUGAUUCAUCCGAGGUGUAUGCGGGUUCAUUUAUUUUCCUUCUAAAGAAAGAGUUUGAGGAGAUAAUCAAUUGAAAAAUGCGAGCACUGUUCAAAUGGGAUUGGAGCUUUUUGUAGCUGCUGAAGACUCUUUUUCAAAAUACCUACACUUUUUGUAUAAGUGGAGAAUUCUGUGACAAAUAUGUCUUCAAUUUUGUUUAUAUAUUCAUAAAAUGCUACUUUUGGUGCAAGGAGACUGCCAAAGCUCUUGUCUGACUCAUAUGCCUUGAAGUAGCAAAGCAGAUUUCUGCUAUCAUCAAGUUGGUCUGUGACCAUAACUGACUCACAUAUGGAACACUUGUGCUUUUCAAAAUAUUUCUGGAAUGGAGAAAUCAAAACAGGAAUGCUUGAGUCAGCUUUGCAGAAUUGUGCCAGUAAGUCAUCAAAGUCAUCUUCACAGUUGCCUUGUGAUGAAUUUAAGAAUGAACUAAAAAACAGCUUCCUGAAAGCACAGGUGAACUGGAUGGAGGUCGGAUUGUCGCUGUUGCCACCCUGCUGACGAAUUGCUCCAAAAAAGUUCUCUAUUGGAAAUCCACAAUAUCCUGCCACUUGGCUGUGAACUGGUUGAACUUGAAAGUGUAUUUCAUCAAAUUAUUUCUAACACAUUUGAUCAGAUGUGGUGGAUCAAACAUCAAAUAAAUCUUUCUUUGAUUGUGCAUAAACCAAGGACUCUCUGGACUGAUGUUCAGGUGCUUAGCCAAACUUUGAAAAUUGCUCCCCAAAUCAGACAUUACUACAACAAGAUUCAAUAAUUUCGAGAGCAUACGAUAGGCUUUUCCACUAGCAUGAUACAAGGACACAGCAAUGGACUUCAUCUGUGGUGUAUUAUUGGAUAGUAUAGCACUUGUUUGGCAAGAAAAAUCUGAAGUUUGUCUUUCUGUAUUAGGCCCACUUUCAUCAACUUCGUGCAAUGGUGAAUGUGUAUCUGGUGGCUCUAAACAUAAACUUAAGGGUAAUAACUAAUUCAAAGUGGUGACCAAAAGCUUGAGAUGGAAAAUAAAAUGCAAAAUGAAUAACUUUAGCUAUAAUUACAUCUCACCAAUACUAAUGGUCAAGAAUUAGAACUGAAAUAGUUUCCCAUGUAUUUUUGGACUCAACAAUGAAAUCAUACCAUAGAACUUCUCAUACCAUCUUUCCUUUUUUCCUGAUCUUUAUCCAUUUUAGAUUUUUUGGCUGUAAAAUAAUUUGUUAAAAUUUGUCUAAUUUCAUCUUGAAACUAGGUUUGGUGUUUACCUUGUA